rnacentral:tRNA from 1 species
UGGGGUGUGGCUCAGCGGUAGAGCACUUGCCUCCCAAGUGUGAGGAACUGGGUUCGAUCCUCAGCACCACAU